ACACCUGGCUAAUUUUUGUAUUUUUGGUAGAGACAGGGUUUCACCAUGUUGGUCAGGCUGGUCUCAAACUCCUGACCUCGUGAUCCGCCCACCUCAGCCUUCCAAAGUGCUGGGAUUACAGGUGUGAGCCAUCACGCCCCGCCUGCUCUCUAAAUUGACUCAGCUCCAGGUUCCGGUUUUGGCUAUGAUGAAUCAGACAAAGAAGCUUAAAAGACAGCCAAUCACAUUGUUUAGGAGAUGAGAUGCUUCGAAUGCUAUUGCCUCUUGUCAGCAAUCUACAGCAAGCAAGAACACCAUAGCAAGAAAGCUACUCUUUGGUGUCAUGUUUGGACUCAAAAGUAACAAAGAUGUGAGCAUAAACAAUUCAUAAAUUUGCACCUUGAAAAGGCUGAGCAAUCUUGAAUAUUGUCGAUUGGCAUAUUAUCCUGUCUUGUAGGAGCUUUUCACUGAUAUACUAUCAAACUAAGAGUUUCCUCCGAAAUAAUAAGGCUUUUUAGCUCACCUAUGAGCUAAAGAUUUCAUGUGGUAUUAUCUCAUCUUGUUCUCAGCAAUCUCUGUAAUAGAGACUGAUAUUCGUGCAUAGCAUGCUUUGCCAUCUCAUGUUGAUGUAUUUAAUCUUGAUAACACUCCUGUGAAGUAGAUGAACAGCCUUCUGUAGAUGCUGUUAUUAUUUAUCUCUGUUUUAAAAGCCACACAACUGGU
rnacentral:lncRNA from 10 species